AUUCCGGGCCCUACGGGGCGCAGCAGGCGCGAAACCUUUACACUGCACGAACGUGCGAUAAGGGGACUCCGAGUGCGAGGGCAUACAGUCCUCGCUAUUGUGUACCGUAGGGUGGUACACGACCAAGAGCUGGGCAAGACCGGUGCCAGCCGCCGCGGUAAUACCGGCAGCUCGAGUGAUGGCCGAUUUUAUUGGGCCUAAAGCGUCCGUAGCU
rnacentral:rRNA from 1 species